CCUACGGGGGGCAGCAGUGAGGAAUAUUGGUCAAUGGACGAGAGUCUGAACCAGCCAAGUAGCGUGAAGGAUGACUGCCCUAUGGGUUGUAAACUUCUUUUAUAUGGGAAUAAAAUGUUCCACGUGUGGGAUUUUGUAUGUACCAUAUGAAUAAGGAUCGGCUAACUCCGUGCCAGCAGCCGCGGUAAUACGGAGGAUCCGAGCGUUAUCCGGAUUUAUUGGGUUUAAAGGGAGCGUAGGUGGAUUGUUAAGUCAGUUGUGAAAGUUUGCGGCUCAACCGUAAAAUUGCAGUUGAAACUGGCAGUCUUGAGUACAGUAGAGGUGGGCGGAAUACGUGGUGUAGCGGUGAAAUGCUUAGAUAUCACGAAGAACUCCGAUUGCGAAGGCAGUUCACUGGACUGCAACUGACACUGAGGCUCGAAAGUGUGGGUAUCAAACAGGAUUAGAUACCCCUGUAGUC
rnacentral:rRNA from 1 species